rnacentral:rRNA from 1 species
CUAACGAGGAUUCCCCUAGUAACGGCGAGUGAAGCGGGAAGAGCUCAAAUUUGUAAUCUGGCGGUCUCUGGCCGCCCGAGUUGUAGUCUGGAGAAGCGUUUUCCGCGUCGGACCGUGUACAAGUCCCUUGGAACGGGGCGUCGUAGAGGGUGAGAAUCCCGUCUUUGACACGGACCGCCGAUGCCGUGUGAUGCGCUCUCGAAGAGUCGAGUUGUUUGGGAAUGCAGCUCAAAACGGGUGGUAAAUUCCAUCUAAAGCUAAAUAUGGGCAAAAGACCGAUAGCGAACAAGUACCGUGAGGGAAAGAUGAAAAGCACUUUGGAAAGAGAGUUAAACAGUACGUGAAAUUGUUGAAAGGGAAACGCUUGAAGUCAGUCGCGUCUUCUGGGAUUCAGCCUUGCCUUGGCCCUUUGGCGCUCGGCGUACUUCCCACGACGGACGGGCCAGCAUCGAUUUCGGUCGUCGGAGACGGGCGUUGGGAACGUGGCACCUUCGGGUGUGUUAUAGCCCUCUGUCAUAUGCGACGGUCGGGAUCGAGGAUCGCAGCACGCCUUCAUUGGCCGGGGUUCGCCCACGUUAACGUGCUUAGGAUGCUGGCGUAAUGGCUUUAAGCG